UGCAAGUCGAACGAUGAAGCCGGGUGCUUGCACCGGGUGGAUUAGUGGCGAACGGGUGAGUAUCACGUGAGUAACCUGCCCUUGACUCUGGGAUAAGCCUGGGAAACUGGGUCUAAUACCGGAUAUGACCAGUCCUCGCAUGGGGUGCUGGUGGAAAGAUUUAUCGGUCUUGGAUGGACUCGCGGCCUAUCAGUUUGUUGGUGAGGUAAUGGCUCACCAAGGCGAUGACGGGUAGCCGGCCUGAGAGGGUGACCGGCCACACUGGGACUGAGACACGGCCCAGACUCCUACGGGAGGCAGCAGUGGGGAAUAUUGCACAAUGGGCGCAAGCCUGAUGCAGCGACGCCGCGUGCGGGAUGACGGCCUUCGGGUUGUAAACCGCUUUCAGCAGGGAAGAAGCUUUUUGUGACGGUACCUGCAGAAGAAGCGCCGGCUAACUACGUGCCAGCAGCCGCGGUAAUACGUAGGGCGCGAGCGUUAUCCGGAAUUAUUGGGCGUAAAGGGCUCGCAGGCGGUUUGCCACGUCUGCUGUGAAAGCCCGGGGCUUAACUCCGGGUGUGCAGUGGGUACGGGUAGACUAGAGUGCAGUAGGGGAGACUGGAAUUCCUGGUGUAGCGGUGAAAUGCGCAGAUAUCAGGAAGAACACCGAUGGCGAAGGCAGGUCUCUGGGCUGUUACUGACGCUGAGGAGCGAAAGCAUGGGGAGCGAACAGGAUUAGAUACCCUGGUAGUCCAUGCCGUAAACGUUGGGCACUAGGUGUGGGGGGACAUUCCACGUUUUCCGCGCCGUAGCUAACGCAUUAAGUGCCCCGCCUGGGGAGUACGGCCGCAAGGCUAAAACUCAAAGGAAUUGACGGGGGCCCGCACAAGCGGCGGAGCAUGCGGAUUAAUUCGAUGCAACGCGAAGAACCUUACCAAGGCUUGACAUGG
rnacentral:rRNA from 1 species